rnacentral:rRNA from 1 species
UACGUAGGGUGCAAGCGUUGUCCGGAAUUAUUGGGCGUAAAGAGCUCGUAGGCGGUUUGUUGCGUCGGCUGUGAAAUCCCGAGGCUCAACCUCGGGUCUGCAGUCGAUACGAGCAAACUAGAGUGUUGCAGGGGAGACUGGAAUUCCUGGUGUAGCGGUGAAAUGCGCAGAUAUCAGGAGGAACACCGGUGGCGAAGGCGGCUUGCUGGGCCUUACCUGACGCUGGAGGAGCGAAAAGCGUGGGGAGCGAACAGG